rnacentral:tRNA from 1 species
UAUUUAAAUAGUUUAAUAAAAAAUUUUGAUUUGUGGAAUCAAGGAUAUACGAAGUAUUUUAGAUAA